GGAUCUUCCAUUUGAUCCGACUGGUGAACUUGAGAGCCUUCGGUCUUUCAUUGAAGUCAAUAUUGAUAUCUGUAAAUGGGUUGGUAUUGCUGUGGUUGUAAUUCAGGCAUUAUCUCUACUACUAUCGAUAAUUCUGCGAGCCAUGGUUUCUACUCGGAGAACUGACUUGGACUGUGAGGAUGACUAUGAUGGUAGAGGUAGAGGUUGGGAGCCACUGUUAAAUUCACAACCAAGCCAACCAGUUGGGUCAAACAAGGGUGAUGUCAGAGGGGCUCAUUCUGACAUCUGGAGCUCACGGAUAAGAGAGAAGUAUGGACUGAGCACGAAUCAGAAUGCAUCAGUGAGCACAAACUCAAGGCAGUGAAGAUCAGAGAAUGUUUUCCAUCUCACAGGGCAGAAAAAGGCCGGCAGCAUACUCUCCUCUUAAGUUGAUACCUGAAUAUAUAUCAUUGAUGUGUAGAUUUUUCACUCUUUUAAAAAAGUUUGUGAUGUAUAUAGUCAUUGAAGGUGUGCUUGGUAACUUGCUAUUGUUGUCUGAGGGAAAGUCUUGAUGACGUGAUUGUUAACAAGAAAAGUGGUUAUGGUUAAUGCUGUGUUUUCAUUGUCUUCCAAAGUAAUUUGUGAGUGGUUCUAAUGUUAUGCUGUAUAGACCCUGUUUUAUUGGUUUACUGAAAUAAGAAA